rnacentral:rRNA from 1 species
GCGCGGCUAACUCUGUGCCAGCAGCCGCGGUAAUACAGAGGGUGCAAGCGUUAAUCGGAUUUACUGGGCGUAAAGCGCGCGUAGGCGGCUAAUUAAGUCAAAUGUGAAAUCCCCGAGCUUAACUUGGGAAUUGCAUUCGAUACUGGUUAGCUAGAGUGUGGGAGAGGAUGGUAGAAUUCCAGGUGUAGCGGUGAAAUGCGUAGAGAUCUGGAGGAAUACCGAUGGCGAAGGCAGACAUCUGGCCUAACACUGACGCUGAGUGUGCGAAAGCAUGGGGAGCAAACAGGAUUAGAUACCCUGGUAGUCCAUGCCGUAAACGAUGUCUACAUAGCCGUUGGGAGCCUUUGAAGGCUUUAGUAGGCGCAGGUAACGCGAUAAGUAGACCGACUGGGGAGUACAGUCGCAAGAAUAAAACUCAAAUGAAUUGACGGGG